GUCGUAACAAGGUUUCCGUAGGUGAACCUGCGGAAGGAUCAUUACUGAGUGCGGGCUGCCUCCGGGCGCCCAACCUCCCACCCGUGACUACCUAACACUGUUGCUUCGGCGGGGAGCCCUCUCGGGGGCGAGCCGCCGGGGACUACUGAACUUCAUGCCUGAGAGUGAUGCAGUCUGAGUCUGAAUAUAAAAUCAGUCAAAACUUUCAACAAUGGAUCUCUUGGUUCCGGCAUCGAUGAAGAACGCAGCGAACUGCGAUAAGUAAUGUGAAUUGCAGAAUUCAGUGAAUCAUCGAGUCUUUGAACGCACAUUGCGCCCCCUGGCAUUCCGGGGGGCAUGCCUGUCCGAGCGUCAUUGCUGCCCAUCAAGCCCGGCUUGUGUGUUGGGUCGUCGUCCCCCCCGGGGGACGGGCCCGAAAGGCAGCGGCGGCACCGUGUCCGGUCCUCGAGCGUAUGGGGCUUUGUCACCCGCUCGAUUUAGGGCCGGCCGGGCGCCAGCCGACGUCCAACCAUUUUUCUUCAGGUUGACCUCGGAUCAGGUAGGGAUACCCGCUGAACUUAAGCAUAUCAAUAAGCGGAGGAAAAGAAACCAACCGGGAUUGCCCCAGUAACGGCGAGUGAAGCGGCAAGAGCUCAAAUUUGAAAUCUGGCCCCUCCGGGGUCCGAGUUGUAAUUUGCAGAGGAUGCUUCGGGUGCGGCCCCUGUCUAAGUGCCCUGGAACGGGCCGUCAGAGAGGGUGAGAAUCCCGUCUUGGGCAGGGUGCCCGUGCCCGUGUGAAGCUCCUUCGACGAGUCGAGUUGUUUGGGAAUGCAGCUCUAAAUGGGUGGUAAAUUUCAUCUAAAGCUAAAUACCGGCCGGAGACCGAUAGCGCACAAGUAGAGUGAUCGAAAGAUGAAAAGCACUUUGAAAAGAGAGUUAAACAGCACGUGAAAU
rnacentral:misc_RNA from 1 species